UUAUUAUUAUUAUUAUUAUUAUUAUAAACCUAUGCAAUUAUAUAUAUAUAUAUAUAUAUAUAUAUAUAUAUAUAUAUAUAUAUAUAUAUAUAUAUAUAUAUAUAUAUAUAUAUAUAUAUAUAUAUAUAUAUAUAUAAUUGCAUAGGUUUAUAAUAAUAAUAAUAAUAAUAAUUUCAAACUCAUUUAAAUACUGACCUAUGACAUCCUGUGACAUGACAUUUAUCUGAAUUUACACAACUCAUGAUGUAACAGUAAAACAGAUAAGCUCACAGAUGAAGACCAAGCUGUAAUGCCGGCAAAAAUAUUUCACAAAUGCUUAUAGAUCAAUAAAAUCAUUAAAAAUUCAUUGCACGGCGUGCAUCAUUAUUAGGCACUUGAUAUUCAGAUGAUAUUUUCCAAGCACAUAUAUAUAUAUGCCCUUUUGGAAAAAUGGCUCUUAACCAAAAAUAAAAAUUUUGCUUUUUGGUCAAAAAAGGUUCCUGACCCCUGUUCCAGAAUCUGGCAGUAAGUUUGGGGAGCACAUUUUUAUUCCAUCUUCUAUUCUGAAAAGUCUUAAUUCUUAAUUCUUUUGCAGUAAACUUGUGUCUUUUCUCCACCUUUUUUUUUUUUUUUUCAAACUCCACUGUCCCAGUCAGCAUUUUUUUGUCCAAUGGUCAUGUCGAAAUUUUGCAAUUUCUAUAUUGCAAUAGUUUUGAAUAAUUCUCAUGGGGAUUUAAUAAUUUUUGACUUUUCAGUCCGAAGCACAUUUUUCCAAUUCCACAUCCCAUCAGUCUUAAUAACUACUAUACAUUUGGUAUUUGAUCAUUUAUGAGUGAUAUAUAAUUGUCCAUUAUUGCUGGAAGUGAAAAACUGCUUAUAUUCAGGAGUGCUGAAUUAUUAGGCAUGUUUUCUUUUACUGAUAAAAUUAGCCAAAAAAAUAACAUACUGUUCUGCAGAUGUUAUAACAUAUCACAUGAAAGUAAUUAUUUUUUGUAGAGAGGUUUUUGAAUUUUCCUUAUGGUAAGAUGGAUAUAUAUUGUAGAUCAGUGAUAGUAAUGUGUAAACAGCAUCAUGUAAUAUUUUUUAUGAUGGUUAGUUGCAUAUUUGUCUAUUUUAGUUUCCAUAAAGUUACUCUUAAAAAGCUCAUUUUUAUUCCAUCUUCUAUUCUGAAAAGUCUUAAUUCUUAAUUAUUUUGCAGUUAACUUGUGUCUUUUCUCCACCUGUCAAUUUCUGUAUUGCAAUAGUUUUUAAUAAUUCUCAUGGGGAUUUAAUAAUUUUUGACUUUUCAGUCUGAGUUACAACUCUUUUUUGGCUCAUUUCAUCUGUAAAAAAAAGAAUUGCCUAAUAAUUCUGCACACCUGAAUAUAAGGAGUUUUUCUCUUCCAGCCUUCAGGGACAAUUAUAUAUCACUCAUAAAUGAUUGAAUACAAAAUUAAUGGUAGUUAUUAAGAUUGAUGUCGUUGGGAAUUGGUAAAAUAUGCUUGGGAAAAAAAAAUCAGAAUAUCAACAUGCCUAAUAAUUGUGCACACAGUGUAAAUCAAUAAAGGUUUUAGUAACACUUUAUAAUAAGGUGUAAUUUGUAAACAUUAGUAAAUGAACAUGAACAAUAUAUUUUCACAGAAUUUAUUAAUGUUUGUUGAUUUUAGUUCACAGUGUUAACUAAUGUUAACAGAUAAUUUUUUUUUUUAAGUUUUGACUAUUAACUGACAUUGACAUGCUAUAUAAUUAUUGUUCAUGUUAAUUAAUAUAGUUAAUGUUAAUAACUGAAACCUUAUUAAAAGUGUUACUAAAGUUUUAUAUAUUGUUCUGUGUGUGUGUGUGUCUUUCAUAGUCUUGAUGGUUUGGAUUAACCCUUUAUUUGCUGAAUCCUUAAAACCAGACUGCCAUAGAGUUACUGUAAAUGCAUGUGCCCGCUGGGCACAAUUUUCCUGAUGCCACCGGGGCGGUGUUUGCGCUGAUGGCUUGAGCCCGCCAUCGCUGCUUGCAGCUAUAUUUAGGGCUCAAGCCUGGAGGGACGAAGAGCCCUAUUGUUUUCCUUAGGAUUUUCUUUAUUCUUCUAAUUUUUUUCCAAGGUUUCGGGGGCUUUUGGGGCCCUUAACAUGCUCAAAAACUCUUGAAAAUUGGCACACACCUUGGAAUCUGCGGCCAUUAGGGCCGGGCAGAGACUGAUACACGGGCGUGGCACAGGGGCUCUACAGCGCCCCCUGGAAUAUUGAGGGCCAUAUAUCAUGCAUACUUGCACGUAUACAUAUGAAACUCGGUACACAUGUAGAUCUCAUCAAACCAAACAACUUUCGCACUGCAUGUCAUAAGCUCCGCCCAACAGGAAGUUGGCUAUUUAGGGUUUUGUGAAAAACGCAUGCUCUGGAAUUUGAUAUACUCCUCUGAGGAACUCCACCCGUUUGCCACAAAACUCGGUGAACAUGAUCUCAAGACAUUGGGGAUGCUAAAUUGCGAAGAUAUUUUUGAUAUCUCGAACGGUUUGUCCGUGGCGAGGCGUUGAAAUUAUGGCGAGAAAUGAGAAACAGGAAAUGUCUAAUAACAUCAACAUACACUACCUGAGUUUGAUC
ensembl:lncRNA